rnacentral:lncRNA from 1 species
GUUAAACGGGGCAGUCUGUGUCAAAAGAGCUUCUCUCCAGAGUAGAAAGGUAGGUACGCUCAGAGCGGCUUUCUUUUCUUUUCUCUUCCAGAGAUUUAUUCUUGUAUGAAGGAUAAAGAGGUAUUGAAAUAAGGUUUUUACCAACACAGUGAUUAAUUUUUUGUGUGCUUAUGUACUUAUCCAUGGCUAUAGUUAAAAUGAUUUUUAAUAUUUUUCUUAAAAAUAUUAUUUUUUUCUUUUGGGUUUUAAGCAUUUAGCAAAUCUCAAGGUUUUAAUUUAUUCAUUUAACAACUAUUUGUUGAAUGCCCACUGCAUACACAGGCACUUUUAUUUUUAUUUUUUUGAGACAGAGUCUUGCUCUGUCACCCAGGCUGGAGUGUGGAGGCAAGAUCUUGGCUCACUACAACUUCCGCCUCCUAGGUUGAAGCAAUUCUAGUGCCUUAGCCUGCCAAGUAGCUCGGUUUACAGGUACGCGCCACCACGCCCAGCUAAUUUUUGUAUAUUUUGUAGAGACGGGGUUUCGCCAUGUUGGCUAGGCUGGUCUUGAACUCCCGACCUCAAGUGAUCCGCCCACCUUGGCCUCCCAAAGUCCUGGGAUUACAGGUGUGAGCCACUGCCCCUGGACCACAGGUACUUUAAAAACCACAAUAGGUAGAAACUCUAUUUCUAAUAACCAACUAUAACAAUUCUAAAUAUAUUUUACUGUAAAUUAUUGAGUACACAAAACAAUAACAGGUAACUAUUCAGCUCACCUCAGAUUUAAUACUUAAACAUUAAAGAAUAUCAACCUACUUGCAAGAAACUUAACAAAACCUAAGGAACAUAAUACAAAUAAAACUUUACCUAUGCAGAUUAUAAGCUGGAUAUUAUAAUAUCCAGGAAAAUAUCCAGGAUGUUAGAAUGGCUUGAAACAGAAUUGAAAAUUUUUGAGCUAUAAGACACAUAGGAGAAAUUUUAAGUUCAUUUUUUUUGGGUGAGACAUUUAUUAGUCUCAACAAGACUGAAUGAUUUUCUUUUAAGGUCACACAUUUAAAUAGUUAACAGGAGAAAUACCAACCAGAAUCAUAGUCAAAUACCCACCUACUCCCUUUCCAAGACAACUAAGGUCUCAAAUUGCGCCCAUUUUUCUCAAAUUAUUUCUAGAAUAUUUAGCAAAAGAGGCUUUUAAUUUGGCAUGUCUUUGUCUACAAUUUUGUAGUUUAUGUAAAGAAAGGUAGACUAAGGGAAUUUCAUUUUAAAGGUGAGAAUCAGAAUGACAUUUGUGAAGCUAUGAUGCCUGUGCCAUCUGGCAUACACGAGGGUGUUGUACUAAAUGGGAUCAGAAUGAGCUCCUUUUGGAAGGAAACCUUUAAUAGACUGGGAAACAUUAAGGGAAUCUUCCCUUUUUUAUUUAUUUUAUUUUAUUUUAUUUUUUUUUAGAUGGAGUCUCACUCUGUCGCCCAGGCUGGAGUGCAGUGGCGCAGUCUCGGCUCACUGCAAGCUCCGCCUCCUGGGUUCACGCCAUUCUCCUGCCUCAGCCUCCUGAGUAGCUGGGACUACAGGUGCCCGCCACCACACCCGGCUAAUUUUUUGUAUUUUUAGUAGAGACGGGGUUUCACCGUGUUAGCCAGGAUGGUCUCCAUCUCCUGACCUUGUGAUCCACCCGCCUCAGCCUCCCAAAGUGCUGGGAUUACAGGCGUGAGCCACCGUGCCCAGCCUCUUAUUUUUAAUAGAGCAUUGGAAAAUGAAUUCUGUAUACCUGGCUAAUGAAGGAAAUCCAGAUUCGUUGCCAAAACCAAGUUUUAAAGGAAUUUGCAAUCCUUCACAGUUCAUUCAAGGAGGCAAUGGAAAUUUUGAUGAAGAAAUUUUUUAAAAUCUUUCUUAAAAGGAGUCCUUACAUUGGCAUUGUAUCAUGACUAAAGUCUUCCUCCCUCUCUCCCUUCUAUGCUUUUUGUUUCUGUUUUCUAUCUUUCAAUGACAUCAGUUUCAUGGAUAUAAAUGGUUAAAAGACAAUGAUUACAACACACAGUUGAGUGACACAAAUCUUGUUGUAGUGUUAGAAAUACAUCAAUACAUUGGGAUCAUAAAGAGAAAUGGCAAGAAAAAAAAUCUUAAGUUAAUAACAGAAAAUGCUGAUUCCCACAGUCCGUGUAGAAAAUAACACGUUUUUUUUUCUGUCAGUGGAGAUAACUGAGACUAGUUAAUAUUGUCAAUUCUGUUCCUUCUGACUGAGCCAGGUGAGGCAAAAUUUAGCAUAUGAGUUGAGGGACAAAACUAUUACCUUGGCAACAUAAAAAUUAAUACUGUCUACAUUGUUUACUAGGAAAUGCAUGCAAAAUUAAUACACUCUUGGUAGUACAGGUUCGUUUCACUUCUAUAGUGUGUGGUUAAUAGAAAGCUGAUUCAACAGACGAUAGAUUCAACAGACGAUGUAGAAUUGUCUAAAAUCCAGCCAGGCGCGGUGGUUCACGCCUGUACUCCCAGCACUUUGGGAGGCUGAGGCGGCAGAUCACAAUGUCAGGAGAUCGAGACCAUCCUGGCUAACAUUGUGAAACCUCGUCUCUACUAAAAAUACAAAAAAAUUAGCCGGGAGUGGUGGUGGGCGCCUGUAGUCCCAGCUACUCGGGAGGCUGAGGCAGGAGAAUAGCGUGAACCCAGGAGGCGGAGCUUGCAGUGAGCCGACAUCGCGCCACUGCAUUCCAGCCUGGGCGACAGAGCGAGACUCCAUCUCAAAAAAAAAAAAAGAAUUGUCUAAAAUUCAUCGUCGGUGAGUCCAUGGCAUGUUUUGGAAUUUAUUCACUUGUUUGCCUCAGGAACAGUAGCUGUUCAGAUUUGUUCUGUCUUUGAUUUUGGAAAUGAGGUUACCGUGCUCUGUAGUGUGAGGAAGAUGACAUGGCAUAAUUAGGCAAACGGCUAGGCAUUUUCUCAGCAGUAAAUUACCAGUGCCCUUACUUGCCAUGAUACCCACAACAGGCAGAGGCAGUUUCCUGAGGCAAUCCAGGCCACAAAGAACUGUACAUUUGGGGAAAACAUAUCUUCAAAUAUAUAUGUUAAACUCUAAAAAAUUGGUUAGUAUGUAUUACUUUUGUGGAUACUUAAACAUUCCCUAUGCAUAAAGACCUAGUUAAAGAGAUGCAGGCUUUUGGCAUGUUAAAUAACUCCUUGAUGAGAAAUCACACUAUGAAUAAUAAAUAUGACUUAAUAAAAAUGAAAAAUAAUGAGAUUAGUUACUAUUGAACUAUUCUUGCUUAGAAUGCCCCUGAAUUUCAGUCAUUGAAAUUCACUUGUACCUGGGUAAGUUACAAGUUCUUAUUUGUGCUGGUUUCUGUUCCAUUGGCAAUUAAAAUUUUGGUAAGUUGAAUAAAAGAUCUUUCUAAAAAGGGAGUUUUUUUUUUUUUUUUCUUUUUUGAGGGGGACGGAGUCUCGCUCUGUCGCCCAGGCUGGAGUGCAGUGGCACGAUCUCGGCUCACCGCAAGCUCCACCUCCGGGGUCCAUGCCAUUCUCCUGCCUCAGCCUCCUGAGUAGCUGGGACUACGGGCGCCCGCCACCACGCCCGGCUAAUUUUUUUUGUGUUUUUAGUAGAGACGGGGUUUCACCGUGUUAGCCAGGAUGGUCUCCAUCUCCUGACCUCGUGAUCCGCCCUCCUCAGCCUCCCAACGUGCUGGGAUUACAGGUGUGAGCCAUCGCGCCUGGCCAAAAGGGAGUUCUUAUAUUGGCAGUGUAUCAUGAUUAAAGUUAUCCUCCCUCUUUCUCUCCCUCCCACAUAUAUAUUUUCGUGUCAGUAUAUGUAUAUGUGAUUUGUGCUAUUUGUGUGUGUGUAGGUAAAUGAAAGUGGCAUCAAGAGAAUCUCACAUUAAAAAAAAUUUGAGAUAGUACAAUUCUUAUGCAUCAUAUGUUGCAUAACGUUUGACUAUUAAGAAAUUUGCAUCACACGUCUACUUAUUUCAUUAAACAUGUUACAGUCAAUUAAUUCACUUACACCCUCCAUUUCCUUCUUCCCCCUCUCUCGUUCUCCUGCUGCAGGGUCAUUAUACGUUCCUACUCACAAAAUGUCCUUGUUUUUUCCCUUACUCCUGUCAUUGAUCUUCUGAAUCUUUCCGGCGAACUUAACAUGGAUGUUUUGAUAGAAAGCUCUGGCAUUAACUCUGGAGUUGUUUUGCAAGGAAGGUUGUUCGCUUUUUCACCAUUUUUUUUUUUUCAGGUCCUUGAAGUGUUUUCACAUAGAUAUUUCACAAGAGCCAUUUCAGAAUUGAGAACAUUUGGCGUGCACUCUUCCUCUUUUGGUCCCACAGUUUUUAUGUGUCCUACUUGAAAUUAUGUUUGCUCCCGUUUCAAUUGUAAUAUUGCACUUACUCAUUAGUUUUUAGUUUGAACUCUCCUGCGAGGUCUAAUGUAGAGUUUGGACAAGAACACAGAUUCAUAAUAAACCUACCCAGUCAAUUUGGUAUAAAGGCUUAGAAGGUGGAACUGGCCACAUUUUGAAUUGGAGGUAAGGAUCAGGAAUGCUAAUGGAGAGACAUAGGAUUUUCUUAUGGAAACAAGAAACAAAUAACCUCUGGGCAGUAUUAGAGCCCAGAGAGUGAUAAGCCUCUUCUAACUUCAAUAUUCUAUGUACAAAUUCACAAGACUUUUUUUUUCUUUCUUUUUUUUGAGACGGAGUCUCACUCUGUAGCCCAGGCUGGAGUGCAAUGGCGCGAUCUUGGCUCACCGCAAGCUCCCCCUCCCGGGUUCACGCCAUUCUCCUGCCUCUGCCUCGCGAGUAGCUGGAACUACUGGCGCCCACCACCACAUCCAGCUAAUUUUUUUGUAUUUUUAGUGCAGACUGGGUUUCACCGUGUUAGCCAGGAUGGUCUGGAUCUCCUGACCUUGGGAUCCGCCCGCCUCGGCCUCCGAAAGUGCUGGGAUUACAGGCGUGAGCCACCGUGCCCGGCCGAGACUUUUAAUUAUGCAAUGCCAGACUGCAUUGCAUAAACCAAAGGCCAACAGAGAGGUGACCUUUCAAAUUACUGGCACAAGAAGAGCCGAGAUCAGAAAGCUCCAACUUAAUGCAAACAUCGACAAGAAAUCCGACAGAAAUGACUUCUGUGUCUGGUCAACUUAACAUAACAUGACAUAUUGUCAAGCACAUUUGGCUUUUUAGGUAGAAUUGUCUAUAAAGGUUUAACUGCUUUAGAAAAUAUAAAUGUGAAGAUUUGUGGUAUUUGGGUUUAUAUAUAAGAUAUUUCUACAUUGAAAAGAGACAGUGGAAAAGCUUGGUAUAAGAUUUGUAAAAUAUGUUUGUAAUAAUGCUAAUGGAAGAGGUGAGAUUUGGGUGGGGUGGGGUGUAGAUGGGAACAUGGUUUGGGGAUUGGGGAAAGGGAAGUCAUGCUGUUAAUAAAAUAGUGAGGCAUGUUGUAUAAAGUGUGUUUUAUGUCUCAAUUGAAAUGUUAUAGAGAUAAAUUUAAAAUAGAUCAUGAUGGGUUUUGAAUCUGAUUUCUAAUUUUAAAAUGUUAUGAGCUUUUGUUGCUUUCCUAUUUCAUACACAUUUCUUUAUGGGUUUCACUUAGACUGCAUGAAAUUGCAGAUGCCAAUUACCUUUUAACAAAAUUAAAUUCACAUAUAUGUAUAAUUUACAUGUAUAUAUUCAUGGAAUUUUUUAUUCUACACGAUAUAUUAUUUUAAAAUGGUUUUUCAAUGACAAAAUAAAAAGUAUUUUUCUAUACUUUCAGUUUUCUGGUUUGAAUUUUUUCUGGCAACACUAAUUUUCACCUACCUAUACUCAUUGAUAGUAUAAAAUUGUACAAGUGCAUAUUUUACCAUGUUUACAUUUGAAUGGAUGACUGGAGGUACAUCUAUGAUGACUAAUACUUUCUAAACACAUAUUUACCUCUCAUAUAUCUGUGUAAAUGAUUGUAAGAGGAAGGGGAAAAUAGAGAUGUAUCAUUAGGUAUACUGUCUUAAAGCACAUUCAGCUGCUCUCAUGUUUGGAGAAUUUUGAAUGUGAUGAAUGUUUCUCUUUCACCGCUAACAGGUUGUAUGUGUGAGCCACAUUUUAUUGCAAGUGUUUGAAAGGCCAUUGCAAAUAUGGGAUAUUGCCAGACAGUAAAAAGCAAAUUGAGUCUAUUGAGAAAUUAAUUCACCAGCUGAAGGAAGUACAUUUGCCUUAGAGUCAUCAGAUAUUCUACCCACCAGACUCAUCUCCGAGAUAGCAUCCUAAUGAGCUUCCUAAACCAACUAAACAUGAGCAGGAAGCAUCAGUCGUCAAAACUGACUCUUUUCAGCCAAUCAGCUGACUGCACAAACUGUAUGGCAUUGAGGAAAGGAAGAACAUUCUGAAAGUUUUUUUCUUUUUUCAUUCUGUCCUCAUUCUGUUGGUUUCUCAGUUUUACGGAUGCAGGAUCAUGCACAGAACCCUGUAAAUGAGCAUAGUUCGUUUAAGUAUAUAAAGUGCUUUCGGUGGAUAAAAUGAAUUUUAACAGGCUUAAGUGAUGUGCCUAAAUGCACACAAUUAAUGCAUGGCUGGAAUUCAAAAUCAUGUCUUUUCCUCUGUUCUGAUUGUUUUAUAAAUAUGGGUUGUUUUAAUGUGUGGCUGGAAUUCAAAAUUGUGUCUUUUCCUCUGUUCUGAUUGUUUUAUAAAUACAGGUGUAGUGAUUGAUUUUCUACCCACCAUGACAGGGAAUAGGUUCAAAACUUAAAACCCUGUUUGUUUUAUAAUUAGGUAGACUCAAAUGACAGGUCAAGGCAGGGAGGGGAGCCAGUCAUUUUUACUCCCAUAUGGGUUUGCUCCUUCAAAGACAGGAUUGGGGUAGCAGUGUCAGUUCCUACAGGUUAUAACGAUCUUAAUGAUAAACUUAAAUAACCGUAACUGAAUACUUAUAAUGUGCUAGCACUUUUCAUAAUGUAUCCCAAUAAUACUCACAAAACUUUCCAAAUAUUACCUUUUUGUUGUCUUUGUUUUAUUUUGUUUUGUUUUGAGACAGGGUCUCACUCUGCUGCCCAGGCUUUAGUGCAGUGAUGCAAUCAUGGUUCACUGCAGCGUCAAACUCCUGGGCUUAAGCAAUCCUCCCACCUCAGCCUCCCAAGAAGCUGAGACUACAGGCAUGCACCACCACUCCCAGCUCCAAAUAAAUAUUCUUAUCCCAUUUUACUGAUGCAGAAAAAUGUAUGGCCCAGAGAAGUAAUGUUAAGUUUAUUGGGGGAUUUAAGUUGUAAAAAAUUAUUUUAUCGAACCCUAAUGUAAACUGUGGACUCUGGGUGAUAGUGAUGUGUCAGUGUAGGUUCAUCGAUUAUAGCAAAUGCAUCAUUCUGGUGCAGGAUGUUGACAGUGGGGGAAGCUGUGUGUGUAUGGGAGUAGGGAGUCUAUGGGAACUCUUCUACUUUCCACUCAAUUUUGCUGUGAGCCUAAAACUACUCUAAAAAAUGAAGUUUAUUAAUCAAGAAAAAAAUUCUUAUGUUUUAUGAAUAUAUGGGACAGCUAUUCAUGUAUGUGGUAAAAAUGAAGAGAUUUGUUACAGUACUCGGCAGGAGUGUGUCUAAUCGACUGAUAUUCAUGUGUCACUUAUAAAAACUGGCUUCAUUAUCAAUCUAUAGAUUCAUUUCAUUUGUGUAUGUUCGCUUAAGGGCACACACAUGGAAACCCUUUGGUGUUAUUAGAGGUCUGUUGGGAGGGCUCCUCUUUGGUGGAAGCUAUGUCUGUUUCUCAGAAGUGAUUUAAGAGUAAGAUGUGAAAUAGCACUUGUCCCCGAGGAUGGAGCCAACAGAGCACAGAGCAUAGGGGAGUUAUGUGAUGCUGUCUCUGAGGGACUGGAGAGAGGAAUAUAAAGAGCUUAUCCCUUAAGAAAGAAUAGGGGAGGACUUCCUUGCCUGAUAUCUCAGAUCAUGAAGCUACAGUUCUCUCCCUGCUUUAGAGAAAAAAAAAAACAGACUUUUUGCAAAAAUCAAUUAUUGAACAUAUUCCUAUAUUCUAGAUUUAUAAUGAAGCAUUUUUGUACAUAUUCAUUAAAAAGAGCAAUUAGAACAUUUUUCUCUGGUUUAUAGUAACUAGGAUGGCAACACAUAUAUAUCUUGGAAGUAUUUUGUGGUAUGAUUCUUCAACAUAAAAUUAUUUUUCAAAACUUCUUAGAAGUCUCCAGGUACUCAGGAAUAAGGUCAUUUUAAAUUAUUCCUUAUUGACUAUAAGAAAAAUAAUUAGGCAAGAUCACAAAAUAAAUGUUUAGACUGUUUCUCCUGUUUCCUGAUUUUCAGGUUAUUUUUUAUCCCAAUUUUAUUUUGCUGUAUAGUCAUAAAUUUCAUCUUUGAAAUAAAGCAUAUAAUCACUUUUUUUGUUUGUUUUUUUGAGAUGGAGUCUCGCUCUGUAGCCCAGGCUGGAGUGCAGUGGCGCAAUCUCGGCUCACUGCAAGCUCUGCCUCCCGCGUUCACGCCAUUCUCCUGCCUCAGCCUCCUGAGUAGCUGGGACUACAGGUGCCUGCCACCACGAUCGGCUAAUUUUUUUGUAUUUUUUGUAGAAACGAGGUUUCACCAUGUUAGCCAGGAUGGUCUGGAUCUCCUGACCUUGUGAUCUGCCCACCUCGGCCUCCCAAAGUGCUGGGA